CUCUCCUGUUCCCAACCCAGUGGAGAUCCACUCCGCCCUGUUGAGGGGAGUGGUUAGAAGUCAGAGGACAUCCUUUCACGGCGGCGGUUAAUAUAACCCUGUAGCGUGGAGGUCAAGGGCGGACGCUUGGACGUAGGGCAGACCUGGGUUCAGAGCCUGACCUCGCUACUCACCAGCUCCGUGACCCUGCAGUGCCACGUUGCUCUGAGCUUGACUCACUUUUACCAUCUGCAAAAUGGAACUCACAGAUAGGAAAACUGAGGCACAAAGAUGCUCGAAGAGCUGCCCAAGGUGGGCAAGCGAGCCCACUGGAGAAUUGGAAUCUGAACCCACGGCUGUCCGGUUCCACAGCUCGUACCCUCUUGGUUCCGCUGUGUUGCUUGAAAUAAAAUUAGAGUGAGCAAGGUCCAGGUGUCAUCAGACCCCUUUCUACAAGUCCAGGCAUCAGCACUCCUUGUACUGAGUUAAAGAGAAAUACUUAUAAGAGGGAAUGUAGAACGAAGAACAUUUUAACAGUGAAAGAACAGGAGGUCGGCUCCAAUGAAGUCACCGUCUCUUUCCCGAAAUACUUGUCUUCCUGAAGACAACGGUACUGUGCAGACAAGAGAUUCUCGGCUAUUCUGAGAGGAGAAUCCAGAGAGAUAAGUAUCUCAGCAGUGGGCACGCACAGCUUGCUUCCUACAAUUUUGAAUUCGUACCAAUGACCGUCAUCCAUUCACCCAAUAUCCACUGAGCAUCAGCCGUAUACCUGUGAUCAAACCAAAGGCCCCUGCUCUCGUGGGUUCCAUGGUGGGGAACAGACUGUAAACAAGUAUGUGAAAUACUCAGCAUAUUCAAUCGUAUGAAGCCCGGGCGCCUAGAGCCCAUGCUCUGCAACAAGAGAAGCCACCGCGAUGAGAAGCCCGCACACCACAACGAAGAGCAGUCCCGGCUC